rnacentral:rRNA from 1 species
CGGGGGAAAAGCACAAUGGGCGCAGCCUGAUGCAGCCAUGCCGCGUGUAUGAAGAAGGCCUUCGGGUUGUAAGUACUUUCAGCGGGGAGGAAGGUGUUGAGGUUAAUAACCUCAGCGAUUGACGUUACCCGCAGAAGAAGCACCGGCUAACUCCGUGCCAGCAGCCGCGGUAAUACAA